UACGUAGGGCGCAAGCGUUAUCCGGAAUUAUUGGGCGUAAAGAGCUCGUAGGCGGUUUGUCGCGUCUGCCGUGCAAGUCCGGGGCUUAACUCCGGAUCUGCGGUGGGUACGGGCAGACUUGAGUGAUGUAGGGGAGACUGGAAUUCCUGGUGUAGCGGUGAAAUGCGCAGAUAUCAGGAGGAACACCGAUGGCGAAGGCAGGUCUCUGGGCAUUAACUGACGCUGAGGAGCGAAAGCGUGGGGAGCAAACAGG
rnacentral:rRNA from 1 species